UAAGCGGAGGAAAAGAAGCUAACAAGGAUUCCCCUAGUAACUGCGAGUGAAGCGGGAAAAGCUCAAAUUUAAAAUCUGGCGGUCUUUGGCCGUCCGAGUUGUAAUUUAGAGAAGCGUCUUCCGCGCUGGACCGUGCACAAGUCUCCUGGAAUGGAGCGUCAUAGAGGGUGAGAAUCCCGUCUUUGGCACGGAUGCCUGGUGCUUCUGUGAUGCGCUCUCGAAGAGUCGAGUUGUUUGGGAAUGCAGCUCAAAAUGGGUGGUGAACUCCAUCUAAAGCUAAAUAUUGGCGAGAGACCGAUAGCGAACAAGUACCGUGAGGGAAAGAUGAAAAGCACUUUGGAAAGAGAGUGAAACAGUACGUGAAAUUGUUGAAAGGGAAACGCUUGAAGUCAGUCACGUCGACCGAGACUCAGCCUUGCCUUGGCUUGGUGUACUUCUCGGCCCGACGGGUCAGCAUCAAUUUUGCCCCUCGGAUAAUGGCAAGGGAAAGGUGGCACCUUUACGGGUGUGUUAUAGUCUCCUGUCGAAUGCGAGGGGUGGGAUUGAGGAACUCAGCGCGCACCUCAGUGUCGGGGCUUCGGCCCACGUCACGCGCUUAGGAUGCUGGCGUAAUGGCUUUAAACGACC
rnacentral:rRNA from 1 species